rnacentral:lncRNA from 1 species
UUAUUGUAUAAAUUACAAUAAUAUAAAUAUAAGUUUGUAAACUUACCUUAAAUAUGGAACCCUUUGUGUUCAAGCUUUGGAAUAGAUCUGGAAUGGCUUUGAAAAUGGUAAGGGAAAUAAAAUAAUAAAUAACAUUAAACAUAUUAAAAUAAUCCUAGGGAAUAAUUAUACAACAUUACUUAAUUACUUAAAAAAAAUUAACAUGUAAUUGUUAACAUUACUUAAUUACCUACAAAAAUUAACAUGCAAGUAUUAAUUAGUUAAAAAAAUUAACAUACGAGUCCAUACAAAUUUAUUUGUUGUUGUAUACAUUACAAUAAUAUAAAUAUAAAUUUGUAAACUUACCUUAAAUAUAGAACCCUUUGUGUUCAAACUUUGGAAUGGAUCUGGAAUGACUUUGAAAAUGGUAAGGGAAGAAGAAUAAACGAAAUUGCUCUGAGGGAAUGCCUCUGAUACUCCAACUCUCAUAAGGUUUUGCACAUCCUCUGAGGGAAUAUAAGUAUAUAACAGAGAGUGGAACAUGGUUUUGCCUGUGAAAGCAUAUCACAGACUCACAGUGAUACACGGUUUCAUUAUUAAAGUUCUAAUAUUUGUU